AUUGAACGCUGGCGGCAGGCUUAACACAUGCAAGUCGAGCGAGCGGCGGACGGGUGUGUAAUGUCUGGGAAACUGCCUUAAGGAGGGGGAAACCUACUGGAAACGGUAGCUAAUACCGCAUACCCUCAGAUGUACCAAGAUGGGAUGAGCUAGUAGGUAGGGUAAUGGAUCACCUAGGCGACGAGCCCUAGCUGGUCUGAGAGGAUGACCAGCCAAACUGGAACGGAGACACGGUCCAGACGCCUACGGGAGGCAGCAGUGGGGAAUAUUGCACAAUGGGCGCAAGCCUGAUGCAGCCAUGCCGCGUGUGUGAAGAAGGCCUUCGGGUGGUAAAGCACUGUCAGCGAGGAGGCGUUACUCGCAGAAGAAGCACCGGCUAACUCCGUGCCAGCAGCCGCGGUAAUAC
rnacentral:rRNA from 1 species